rnacentral:rRNA from 1 species
ACGCUCGACACCUACGGGAGGUAGCAGUGGGGAAUAUUGCACAAUGGGGGAAACCCUGAUGCAGCGACGCCGCGUGGAGGAAGAAGGUCUUCGGAUUGUAAACUCCUGUUGUUGGGGGAAAAAGAGGAUGGUACCCAACAAGGAAGUGACGGCUAACUACGUGCCGANAGCCGCCGGUAAGUACUGAGGCGGGCGUGGCGAAGGACG